rnacentral:rRNA from 1 species
GAUGAACGCUGGCGGUGUGCCUAAUACAUGCAAGUCGUACGCAUUCUCGUUUCUGAUUGACGGUGCUUGCACCUAAUUGACGAGACAUUGGAAUGAGUGGCGGACGGGUGAGUAACACGUGGGUAACCUGCCCAGAAGCGGGGGAUAACAUUUGGAAACAGAUGCUAAUACCGCAUAAAAGUCAAAACCACAUGGUUUUGAUUUAAAAGAUGGCCUUUGUGCUAUCACUUCUGGAUGGACCCGCGGCGUAUUAGCUAGUUGGUAAGGUAACGGCUUACCAAGGCAACGAUACGUAGCCGAACUGAGAGGUUGAUCGGCCACAAUGGGACUGAGACACGGCCCAUACUCCUACGGGAGGCAGCAGUAGGGAAUCUUCCACAAUGGGCGCGAGCCUGAUGGAGCAACACCGCGUGAGUGAAGAAGGGUUUCGGCUCGUAAAACUCUGUUGUUAAAGAAGAACGUAUCUAAGAGUAACUGCUUAGGUAGUGACGGUAUUUAACCAGAAAGCCACGGCUACUACGUGCCAGCCGCCGCCGUAA